UUAAUUGUGUGUCGUCUGCAUAGCAAUGAUAGGAGAGACCAUGUGAGGUUAUGACAGAGCCAAGUGACUUGGUGUAUAGCGAGAAUAAGAGAGGGCCUAGAACAGAGCCCUGGGGGACACCAGUGGUGAGAGCGCGUGGUGAGGAGACAGAUUCUCGCCACGCCACCUGGUAGGAGCGACCUGUCAGGUAGGACGCAAUCCAAGCGUGGGCUGCGCCGGAGAUGCCCAACUCGGAGAGGGUGGAGAGGAGGAUCUGAUGGUUCACAGUAUCGAAGGCAGCCGAUAGGUCUAGAAGGAUGAGAGCAGAGGAGAGAGAGUUAGCUUUAGCAGUGCGGAGCGCCUCCGUGAUACAGAGAAGAGCAGUCUCAGUUGAGUGACUAGUCUUGAAACCUGACUGAUUUGGAUCAAGAAGGUCAUUCUGAGAGAGAUAGCGGUAGAGCUGGCCAAGGACGGCACGCUCAAGAGUUUUGGAGAGAAAAGAGAGAAGGGAUACUGGUCUGUAG